AGAGAGAGACAUGCGCGCAUAUCAAUAAGCGGAGGAAAAGAAACUAACAAGGAUUCCCUUAGUAACGGCGAGUGAAGCGGGAAGAGCUCAAAUUUGAAAUCUUCAAGGUUCUACCUUGACGAACUGUAGUUUAUAGAAGUGUUUUCUGUUAGUGGAGUGGCAAAAGUUCUUUGGAAUAGGACAUCAUAGAGGGUGAGAAUCCCGUAUUUGGUCAUUCCUCCUAGCGUUGUGAUACACUUUCAACGAGUCGGAUUGUUUGGGAAUGCAGUCCAAAAUGGGUGGUAAAUUUCAUCUAAAGCUAAAUAUUGGCGAGAGACCGAUAGCGAACAAGUACCGUGAGGGAAAGAUGAAAAGAACUUUGAAAAGAGAGUUAAACAGUACGUGAAAUUGUCAAAAGGGAAGCGUUUGACACCAGUGUUGUUUUUCCGAAAAUCAAUUACGAAUGUUUUAGUUUUUGAGGAGUUAUGACUUCAUCGGCUUGCUCCUUUCUUUAUGAAACUUUCUUAAUGCACUUUUCGGUUAACAAGUCAACAUCAAUUUCUUUUGUUGUAAAAGGGUAUGAGGAAGGUGGCUUUCUUUUCGGAGAAAGUGUUUAUAGCCUUGUGCCUCUGCAAUCGGAGAGAUUGAGGUCUGCAGCGUAGAUCCUUCGGGGUUAGAUACGUUUGUGCUAAGUUAUAGCUUUUCAUAGACAACUUGUUGACUAUGUUUAGUCUUGUAGCUUACUCGCUGAUGCUAUUUUACCUACGCUUAGGAUGUUGAUAGUCACAGCGUGUAC
rnacentral:rRNA from 1 species